rnacentral:rRNA from 2 species
ACACAUGCAAGUCGAACGAUGAACUCCAGCUUGCUGGGGGGAUUAGUGGCGAACGGGUGAGUAACACGUGAGUAACCUGCCCUUGACUCUGGGAUAAGCGUUGGAAACGACGUCUAAUACCGGAUACGACCAGCCUCGGCAUCGAGUGUUGGUGGAAAGAAUUUUGGUCAAGGAUGGACUCGCGGCCUAUCAGGUAGUUGGUGAGGUAAUGGCUCACCAAGCCUACGACGGGUAGCCGGCCUGAGAGGGUGACCGGCCACACUGGGACUGAGACACGGCCCAGACUCCUACGGGAGGCAGCAGUGGGGAAUAUUGCACAAUGGGCGAAAGCCUGAUGCAGCAACGCCGCGUGAGGGAUGACGGCCUUCGGGUUGUAAACCUCUUUUAGCAGGGAAGAAGCGAAAGUGACGGUACCUGCAGAAAAAGCACCGGCUAACUACGUGCCAGCAGCCGCGGUAAUACGUAGGGUGCAAGCGUUGUCCGGAAUUAUUGGGCGUAAAGAGCUCGUAGGCGGUUUGUCGCGUCUGCUGUGAAAACUGGAGGCUCAACCUCCAGCCUGCAGUGGGUACGGGCAGACUAGAGUGCGGUAGGGGAGAUUGGAAUUCCUGGUGUAGCGGUGGAAUGCGCAGAUAUCAGGAGGAACACCGAUGGCGAAGGCAGAUCUCUGGGCCGUAACUGACGCUGAGGAGCGAAAGGGUGGGGAGCAAACAGGCUUAGAUACCCUGGUAGUCCACCCCGUAAACGUUGGGAACUAGAUGUGGGGACCAUUCCACGGUCUCCGUGUCGCAGC